rnacentral:rRNA from 1 species
UCUGCAACUCGACUACAUGAAGCUGGAAUCGCUAGUAAUCGCAGAUCAGAAUGCUGCGGUGAAUACGUUCCCGGGUCUUGUACACACCGCCCGUCACACCAUGGGAGUCGGAAAUGCCCGAAGCCGGUGACCCAACCAAAAGGAGGGAGCCGUCGAAGGCAGGUCUGAUAACUGGGGUGAAGUCGUAACAAGGUAUC